rnacentral:lncRNA from 1 species
UCUCUCUCUUAGACUCUUCGUCUCCUCCUUCUCUCUAGAACCUUCUGGCUCCGGUGGGUUUCAUCGUCUCUCCGGCCAACUCCAUCCCCACUUCUCUCAAACUCUAGUCGCCAUAGAACCUUUUCUCAUUGCUUCUCUAUAUCCUUGAAGCCCCAAAGACUUCCACCAUGAAAGACGGUCCCUGCAAGCCUUGCUUGUCUUAUCUCCAGCCUUCUCUCCGGCGGUUUCAGGCCGAUGUUGCUUUAAACUCCAUUAUUAACGAUUUCUGCAACCAGCUUCCUUACCUCAAUAAUUUUAGUGCCUAAGUCUUUUAACCUUUGACUUUUAAAAUCAUUAUACAGUUUAUUCUUUGUGUUCUAUACUACUCACUACUCGAUUUCUCUGAUUAUUCAAGUUCUUUUCAAUGUCUUGUUCUUCUUUCAAACACUAGGGUUUUCGACCCCCUUUCAAAAUCACUAUAUCUUCUGCUUCAUUUUAAGUAUUAUGUGAUUAUGCCUAUUGUGUUUAUCUUAUAAGCUUGUUUUCUAGUUAUUCCGAGCUCCAUGCUUUAAGCUUUUACUUGGGUUCCAAUCUUUUGUUGAAAUUGUGAUUUUCUUGCUUAAUGCUCUCUGAUUUUCACACCUAUUGUGUUUAUAGGUCUAAUUGUUAUUCGAACGAUUAUGUGCAUCUCUUUGAAUCCCUGAUUUGUAUGGGUUUUCCUUAGAAGUUCUUACACUGAUUUUUGAAUUAUUUUCUUACUUGUGAGAUUCUCUCUAUACUUGGUACUGAUUCCCUCUGAUUUUAGUCUUGUCCAUGAUUCUUUGACUAAUUUUUCAGAGUUAAUUUAUAUUUUUUUUACCAUAUUUAUGUUUUUAAACAUAUUUUCUAGUACUCAACAUAUAUUUUCCUCAUCUGAAUAUUAUGUAUCUGGCCCUUAUUACAUACUACAUGCCUACUACUCUUACUAUGGUGUAAUUAGUUGUCUGAUUGAUUCUUUCCUUUAUUUGAUAUAGCAUGUACUCCCAUUCGAAUCAUGAAUACCUGGUUAAUUUGAAUUAGAUCAUGUGAUUGAUUCCAAUUGGUAUUGUUUCUAUAACUAGGUACAUGUUACCCAUUUCUCUAUUAGCUUUCAAAAACUAUAAGUACUCCUCAUCUCCUCUCACUUGAAAAACAAACAGAAUUCAUUCUCAACUCUCUCUUACACAAAAAUAUUAAGUGUUGUCUCUUGUUUACUACACAACUUCUCUCACCUCUCUUGUGACUACUGGUUACUCAGUUGGUUUGAAACCCAAGCUAAGCUUUAGGCUACAUUAUGUUCUGUUGCUCUCUCUAUACAUUGUUGCUUGCUUGAGUAUGCUAUUGCUGCUCACUUCACUACUGCUACCGCUCACUUCUUUGCCUACUGCUGCUCUCUCUGCAUAUUUCUGCUCACUCCCUUGCACACCAUUGCUCACUAUUUUGCAUAUUAUAACUCACUAUUGCCCUACAUUACCUUGCCUCCAACUGGUAUGUCUCCUAUUUGAUUUACAGCUUCAAAGCAAUAUGUUUCUAUUUGUAUUGCACUUUCUUUUAUUUCUUGUAUGUUUCUACUUAUGGUUUUGUUGUUCUUACUUCAAUUAGCAUGCCUCUAUGUUGAUUAAUAUGCCUAUCUUAAUCUGGCAUGCCCAUUACUCCCCUUGUCUGUCUCCUGCAUGUUUCUCCUUAUCCCCUAACCCAAGUACAUUAUUAGCAUGUAUUCAAGACCCUCCUAGCUAUUAAGUAACCCUGAACCUCUUCCUGAUGUGUGAAUCUGUUUGGUAUAUAUCAAUCUAAUGUUGUUAAGACCCGGACCCCUUUGUUUGAAACCUGCUUAAUUGCUUAAGUUCUGAAGUGCUUCUCUUUGAUGUUUGUGUAUAUGUAACUGUAUUCUCACUUUGAGUUACUUAUCCCCCAUGUCCGCUGCCCCUGCUUGUGCUUGCCUGAUAUUGUAUCUUAUGCUGGUUUUCUCUCAAAACUGUUUUCGUGUGAAUCGUCUUUAACUAUUUUCAAACUCAAUUGCUUUUAAAGGAACUCUGCCUCUCGUUCCAUUACUUUUCUCUCAAAACUGGUUUUCUAUGGAGCCUCUUUCAACUGUUAUUCAUCUCAAUCUCUUUAAUACUCUCUCACAGUCUCAUACUCCUAGAAUUUAGGUUCUAUCCCCUUAGUAUAAGCAUUGCUUUGGGUUCCUUGAGUAUCCACUUAACUUUGAUGCACAAGGCUGGUAAUUCUACACUUGAACUGAUUCAAUGUUAAUCUAUUUGGGUGUCUGGUAUUGGCCAAGGGCCCCAAUGAGCCCUUAGGGAGCUUUGCCGCUCCCAAACAUUGGUAAAGGAUGUGAAACUCGAAAGAAGUGAGGUGGGAGAUUUAGGUUUGGUUGAAGCCUCCCUAUAGAAUACCUUCUUAUUUUUUCAUUAACUGUAAUUUUGAUUAUCUUGGUCUGUAAUAACUGGUAAUGAACAAUUGGGGUUUAUAGUGAAAUUGGGAGGGUUAUGCAUGCUUAGUUUAAGAGUACGGGUAGAAAACGUGCUUGUAGGGCU